GGGGAUGCAUUGAUUCGACAGGAUUAUGUCUGGGUAGAAUGCAAGUAGUAGGCAUACUAUAAAUGCAAAAACUAAAAUAAUCGGAAACGAUUUCAAUUUUUCUCCAUCUUUUGCUUAAGUUAAGUAAAACGGAGCUUCCACUUUUAACUUUUGUUCACGAGUUUUAAGAGGGGAGUCAUAAAGUGAACUAUAUUAUAAAUUUGUUUGUGAUUUAUAAUGAAUGAAUAGCAAACUUAGAAUAAUAAGAGAAGUUGGCAAUCUACAUUAUUAUUUGAAUUUAAAAACCAACUAAACUUGUAGAAAUUCUACUGGGAUGAAUCUUGGACAGGAGUUCGCUACUCCUCAUCUCCACCA
rnacentral:tmRNA from 1 species